AAUAAGGUGCCUGAAAUUAAAAGGACUAUUUUGAUAGAAUAGGUCAUGUAAUAAAUUACCCUUAUUA
rnacentral:tRNA from 1 species